CUUGCAUCAUUCCAUUUUAGGGGAAAAGCUGCAGUCCAAGAACGACCUGGACCCCAUGGACCCUGCAGCUUAUUCAGACAUACCACGGGGCAAGUGGUCCACGGGGCUGGAGAAGAGCAACGAAGCCAAGACGGGAGCAGACACCACGGCCAGCGGGCCGUUGUACCAGAUGCGGCCGUACCCGAGUCCCGGGGCGGUGCUGCGACUCAAUGCGUCGGGGCGUCGUCCGCCGUCGGACGACGAAGACGAAGACUGAGUGUAACACUGUGCGGAUAAUAAAUGUGACUAACUGCGGAA